AGCUAUUUUACUACACUUUGCCUAUAUAUCGCCACUUUUUCUUGGCUCAACAUUUUGUGCUUUGGAAUUUGGCGGAUGUUAAGUACGGUCUCACUGCCGACUCACACACUCAUCUGGAGCAAACAAUUUUUGUAUUCCUCCGUUUACGGAUGGGGUAUUCCAUUCGUCAUCGUAGUCGUCGGACAAAUUCUCCAGCACAGCGAUUUGCCAGACGACAUCAUUAAACCAGGGUUGGCUUCAAAAUUGUACUGCUGGUUCAAUCAGGACCAUUAAUCGCCUAUUUGUAUACGCGCCUAUGAUUGCCAUGAUUGUUGCCAACGUUUUCAUGUUCGUUUGGGCUGCACUCAGUUUUUACCAGAGAAGUGUCGAAUCAUCGCUAGUGAUCAACUUUUCCCAUUUAAAGUGAUCCUGAGUCUCUUCUUGCUGAUCGGUGUUCUAUGGACAACCGAAAUUAUUACUGUCUUGGCGGAUUCCAGUUACGAAAGUGCCUUGUUCAUCGACAUAUUCAACAUCAUAUUGCCAAUUUUCGUUUUCAUCAUCUUCGUCUGUAAGCCGACAGCCGAGCGUGUGGAAAAUGCUCAAAUUCAAAUUCCCGCGGUUGAGUCCCUUCAUCUCGGCCUGUGAAAAAAAAUUUUCCCGCAUAGUCCCCAAGAAAAGCGAACGUCAUCCACCCGCUAUCCCACUCGCUACACUCUGCCAAAAUUCUCCGCAGGAUCGAAUUUAUGCUGGACAAUAUAAUAUGUAAACGAGCAAUCGAGCAUUCUCGGCAAAUUUUUCCCCUUAUACAAUUAACAGAUCAUUGUCUUUUUCUGACUAAGGAUAGAAAGUUGAUGAAUAUACACAGGUAGACUCACGGAUUUUGUAUUCGGAAAAGGUGUAAUAAAUUGCUUAACUCCUCAUAAACCACCUGUCAAAGUAAAACUCUGCAUGCUCUU